GUUCAAUAGUGAAAGACGGUUUUGCUGUCACUUAUAGAUGGAUCCGCGCCGCAUUAGCUAGUUGGUAAGGUAACGGCUUACCAAGGCGACGAUGCGUAGCCGACCUGAGAGGGUGAUCGGCCACACUGGAACUGAGACACGGUCCAGACUCCUACGGGAGGCAGCAGUAGGGAAUCUUCCGCAAUGGGCGAAAGCCUGACGGAGCAACGCCGCGUGAGUGAUGAAGGUCUUCGGAUCGUAAAACUCUGUUAUUAGGGAAGAACAAAUGUGUAAGUAACUAUGCACGUCUUGACGGUACCUAAUCAGAAAGCCACGGCUAACUACGUGCCAGCAGCCGCGGUAAUACGUAGGUGGCAAGCGUUAUCCGGAAUUAUUGGGCGUAAAGCGCGCGUAGGCGGUUUUUUAAGUCUGAUGUGAAAGCCCACGGCUCAUCCGUGGAGGGUCAUUGGAAACUGGAAAACUUGAGUGCAGAAGAGGAAAGUGGAAUUCCAUGUGUAGCGGUGAAAUGCGCAGAGAUAUGGAGGAACACCAGUGGCGAAGGCGACUUUCUGGUCUGUAACUGACGCUGAUGUGCGAAAGCGUGGGGAUCAAACAGGAUUAGAUACCCUGGUAGUCCACGCCGUAA
rnacentral:rRNA from 1 species